GAUGAACGCUGGCGGCGUGCCUAAUACAUGCAAGUCGAGCGAACAGACGAGGAGCUUGCUCCUCUGACGUUAGCGGCGGACGGGUGAGUAACACGUGGAUAACCUACCUAUAAGACUGGGAUAACUUCGGGAAACCGGAGCUAAUACCGGAUAAUAUAUUGAACCGCAUGGUUCAAUAGUGAAAGACGGUUUUGCUGUCACUUAUAGAUGGAUCCGCGCCGCAUUAGCUAGUUGGUAAGGUAACGGCUUACCAAGGCAACGAUGCGUAGCCGACCUGAGAGGGUGAUCCGCCACACUGGAACUUGGACACGGUCCAGACUCCUACGGGAGGCAGCAGUAGGGAAUCUUCCGCAAUGGGCGAAAGCCUGACGGAGCAACGCCGCGUGAGUGAUGAAGGUCUUCGGAUCGUAAAACUCUGUUAUUAGGGAAGAACAAAUGUGUAAGUAACUAUGCACGUCUUGACGGUACCUAAUCAGAAAGCCACGGCUAACUACGUG
rnacentral:rRNA from 1 species